GAUGAAGAACGUAGCGAAAUGCGAUAAGUAAUGUGAAUUGCAGAAUUCAGUGAAUCAUCGAAUAUUUGAACGCACAUUGCGCCCCUUGGUAUUCCGAGGGGCAUGCCUGUUCGAGCGUCAUAUUAACCACUCCCGCUUGCGGGGUCUUGGGCUUCGCCUCCGGGCGGGCCUUAAAAUCAGUGGCGGUGCCGUCGGGCUCUACGCGUAGUAAAUUUUCUCGCGAUAGGGUCCCGGUGGAUGCUUGCCAACAACCCCCAACUUCUUAAGGUUGACCUCGGAUCAGGUAGGGAUACCCGCUGAACUUAAGCAUAUCAAUAAGCGGAGGA
rnacentral:misc_RNA from 1 species